rnacentral:rRNA from 1 species
GCGGAGGAAAAGAAACCAACCGGGAUUGCCUUAGUAACGGCGAGUGAAGCGGCAAAAGCUCAAAUUUGAAAUCUGGUACCUUCGGUGCCCGAGUUGUAAUUUGGAGAGGGCAACUUUGGGGCCGUUCCUUGUCUAUGUUCCUUGGAACAGGACGUCAUAGAGGGUGAGAAUCCCGUGUGGCGAGGAGUGCGGUUCUUUGUAAAGUGCCUUCGAAGAGUCGAGUUGUUUGGGAAUGCAGCUCUAAGUGGGUGGUAAAUUCCAUCUAAAGCUAAAUAUUGGCGAGAGACCGAUAGCGAACAAGUACAGUGAUGGAAAGAUGAAAAGAACUUUGAAAAGAGAGUGAAAAAGUACGUGAAAUUGUUGAAAGGGAAGGGCAUUUGAUCAGACAUGGUGUUUUGUGCCCUCUGCUCCUUGUGGGUAGGGGAAUCUCGCAUUUCACUGGGCCAGCAUCAGUUUUGGUGGCAGGAUAAAUCCAUAGGAAUGUAGCUUGCCUCGGUAAGUAUUAUAGCCUGUGGGAAUACUGCCAGCUGGGACUGAGGACUGCGACGUAAGUCAAGGAUGCUGGCAUAAUGGUUAUAUGCCGCCCGUCU